rnacentral:sRNA from 1 species
UUGAGAGCCCUGGAGACUGUCGUCCUCUCUUUAUCCAUGUAACAAAUGCAACUUGCAAAGGACCAGUGACUUACAUUCAUCCCUCUGCCAAUGUACCUCAGCUCUGUACUGGAGGGGUCCCUCCAGGAUGAGUGAAACUGUCAGUCUCCAUGGCCCAUUCAGUCCUGGGCAUCA